CAGGAAUUCAUUCUUCACUUCUCAGCUCAAGGGAGAUAGACUGUCAAAAUGUAAAAGGACAAAUGGAUCAUUGACCCGAAGGAAUGGGAGAAGAUGAGUGGAUGCAUCCUAUCCUUACCUCAGCUGAGGAAGAAUUCCUCCUGAUUAUUGAGUAUGAGAGAGGCCCAACUGUGGCUAAUGAUCCCUGAAGUCCAAACCUCAAGCCACAGUCUGGAGGUAGCAGGUGACUGAACACUUCGCCUCUGAGAAUAAUGAUACCAAUUAGCCAGAUGCUACACCACCCCUACCUCUUCCAAAUCCUCCAACAACGAGGCUGCUCUCCCUCUAAUUAUAACCUCUCCCUAACCCGAACCAUCACCCCCACCCUCACCUUAAGAACACCAAAAACUGUCCAGAAUUGCAGCUACAGACUGUACACCCUGACCCUACCCACUGCUCUCCUUCGACACCCACCUUCAGCUCUCCGUGCACCAUCUGAAACCCCAACCACUUCACUCCAAACCCCACAAUGGUUCGGAUCCUCCAUCCUAGCUGCUGUUCUCCUGCUCCCCUCCCCUUGCUGUGGAGAUCAACAAACACUCACCUCAGACACAGAGCUGACUGGAGCACAUCAUCUUUAACUGAAAGUGAACUCAGUGCCACAAGAUCCCUGUAGAUCCUGAUUUAAUCUUGAAGGUAAUCUCAGAAAGUUAAGUCAAUACAAAUAGUCGUGAUGUUUCCAAAUGAGCAGAUGAUAAAAAAACAAGGUGGGAAUGUGAAUUAUGAGAAAGAUGCAAAUGUCAAGGGGACUUGGGCAGGCUGACUGAAUGAGAAAGAGUCUGGUUGAUGUAAGAUAAUGUAAGUGUGAGGUAAUCCAUUUUUGAGGCUGACAGAGGUACAGAGUUCUUCUUGGAUGAUGAAUGUUUGGAAAGUGUUGAUGUCCAAAGGUGUCCUUGUUCAUAUGUCACUGAAAGCUGACAUGCAGGAGACACUUUGUAAGUCAAGCAGUAUGUUACCGUUUAUCGGAAGAGGAUUUGAGUACAGGAGCAAAGAAGUCUUGCUUCAGUUGUACAUGAUGCUGCUGAGUUCACGCAUAGCGUAUUGUGCGCAGUUCUGGUCGCCUUGCCUAAGGGAAGAUAUACUUGCAAUAAGAAGGAGUGCAGCAGAGAUUCAGCGGAUUGAUUCCUGGGAGGAUUGGACUGCCAUACGAGGAGGGAUUCAGGAGAUUGGGCCUGUAUUCUCCUGAGUUUAGAAGAAUAAAAGGUAAAGUCAUAGAAGCUGACCAAUGUUUAAAAUGGAUAGGCUGAAUAGAUGGAGGAAGGAUGUUUCCUUGAGCAAUGGGAUACACUGUCACAGCCCUCUGGGAUAAUGCAUUAGACAUCAAGUGCCACUAUUUCUAGAGUCAUGACAGAUGUGAAAACUUGAUUAAACCACUGAAUUGUCUAACUGUCUAAUUCAGGUUAAAAAAUAUGCAAAUCAUAAAAUAGCUAUUUAUUGUUGUUAAACUAUUUUAACUAAUGGCAAAAAAGAAGGCAAGUUGAAUUGCAAAUCUAUAACUUUAGAGCUUAGACUCUACCCCUUUCUUAAAAUUCCCGUUCAGUUAUGAGCAGACACGAAACGACAAGUCACAAAUAUCAUGAUUGGGAGGGCCUAAAAGGUCAGAGAAGCACAGUUCUGGCACCAGUCCAGAUCACAGAUGUUGCUGAGUUGUUUUUUUGGCUUUCCUUCAACUCCUCUUGAGUCUUUGCUGAUGAUACAAGAUUGUGGAUACACCGAUUCUUAAUCUUUCAUUCACUGGUUAAGGAUUCACCCUUUCAGAGUUUCAAUGGGAGAUCAAUCUACAUGGAAAGGUCAUAGAAAUCAUAGAAUCCCUACUCUGUGGAAACAGGCCACUUAGCCCAACAAGUCCACACUGACCCUCCAAAGA